ensembl:lncRNA
GGAGAAGGCUGCUCAGUGUUCCAGGGAAGUGUCUGGGGAUACUACUGACGGGGACAGCGGGGGGUGGGGGUGUCUCUUGUGCUUUCUCUCCCCCUCCUCAGGAAACCACUCUGGGUCCAGCUGCCUGGUACAGACUCCAACCCAUGGAGAAAGCAGAAACCAGAGCAACUCCAGCUUUGAGCCACUUCUUGUGACAGCUGAGGCUCUCAAGACUGAACGGUUGAGCCAAAGCAGAAGGUCUUUUUCUGGCCGGGGCAGUGACUCCAAUUGUCCCCUCCCAGGGCUGCUUACUAUGUUGAGUGAAUACCUAAGCCAUGCUCGGGUUCAUGGCUCCCCAGGUGAACCUGGAAGGGCACAUCUGUUCUCCCUAAAUAACUGCCUGCCCCAUAAAGCAGGAAGUGGUUAUUCCCCACCGCCCCCUUCCCCGUCUUGGUGAAGUCAGCAUAGGUUUUAUUACUGAUGCCUCCAGAAGUAGCUUGGGUGAGAUGAAAGAGGUACGCUGGAGGUCUACUUGGUACUUUGGACUCUCCUCCUGCACGGGGAACACGUUCACAGAAGCCUUUCCUAUUGAGCACAGCUGAUGGCAGUUGCUGCUGCUUCAUUUUCCCUUCCCUUGGGAAUAAGGAAAAUAAUUUUCUUUGUCUUAGCAAAAAUCCCCACCCAGAUUCAGAAAGGGUCACAAAUUAUUACAACAAAAAUUUGCUAGGUGCCAAGUAGAGUUUUGGGCACACAUUGACUCACACCCAAACCCCCCUCAUUGUAGGAAUCACCCACAUCUUUAACAAAUAAAUUGUAAGGAGUGCUGGGUCACACACAAGACCGAAUUGGAAAGCGAGGGUUUGGAAUGCUGAUAGCCUGAUUUUGAGCCUAAGUUCCUACUCAUUUAGCUACUUCUUUAUGAAAGGACUUCUAAAGAAAAGGAGAACGACAACGGCUGCCUCCCACAUUAAAAAGCACCAGCAUCAGGGUCCUUUCCAAUGAAUCGGCUCUUCGCAUCAGGUGGCCAAAUUAUUGGAGCUUCAGCUUCAGCAUCAGUCCUUCCAAUGAAUAUUCAGGAGUCUCCCAGGAAUACCAUGUUGCAGGACCAUCUGACUGCUAUUGAUUCUACAAUCUAGCUUUUUUCCAGAUGUAUUAUUAUGUACAGGCAUCAGAAUAUAGUUCUUUGGUCUUUGAACCUUAUUACAUUUUGCAAAAGCAGUCAGAUCCUAGCUGUUCUCCAUGUAGAAUGUAUUAGGUGCCAAUGAAGAUGGUUCACGUCCUACUGACAGACACACUCAGACUCUGUCUGCAGUUCUCCAUUUAGGAAUGAUUAGCACUGGUAUCUAGCAUGAAAUUAAAUAUAUAAACCAAUCUCUUGUCCUUCACAUCUAUGAAUUCUAGCACUUGAGUAUGGGGACUGUGUUUGUGCUCUAGGUAGGAAUGUAUAGUAUGAAUCACUGAGUUAACAGUUCCUGGGUAUCUUAAAUUAGAGGCAAACAUACGUAUAGACAUUCUGCUAGUGUUCUAGAACAGGCAUUGCUUAACUGCAGCCAACAAACUAGAUCCAACCUACUCCCUGUUUUUGUAAAUAAAGUUUUAUUG